AAUAAAAUGCCUGAAAAAGGGUUACUUUGAUAGAGUAAAACAUGUAUAAUUUAUACUUUUAUUA
rnacentral:tRNA from 1 species